rnacentral:rRNA from 1 species
AGAGAUAGAAAGUUACUUCGGUACGAUCGGUGACAGGUGGUGCAUGGUUGUCGUCAGCUCGUGUCGUGAGAUGUUGGGUUAAGUCCCGCAACGAGCGCAACCCCUAUUGUUAGUUGCCAUCAUUCAGUUUGGGCACUCUAGCGAGACUGCCGGUAAUAAACCGGAGGAAGGUGGGGAUGACGUCAAAUCAUCAUGCCCCUUAUGACCUGGGCUACACACGUGCUACAAUGGUUGGUACAACGAGUUGCGAGUCGGUGACGGCGAGCUAAUCUCUUAAAGCCAAUCUCAGUUCGGAUUGUAGGCUGCAACUCGCCUACAUGAAGUCGGAAUCGCUAGUAAUCGCGGAUCAGCACGCCGCGGUGAAUACGUUCCCGGGCCUU